AGUGAACGCUGGCGGUAGGCCUAACACAUGCAAGUCGAACGGCAGCACAGUAAGAGCUUGCUCUUACGGGUGGCGAGUGGCGGACGGGUGAGGAAUACAUCGGAAUCUACUUUUUCGUGGGGGAUAACGUAGGGAAACUUACGCUAAUACCGCAUACGCCCUACGGGUGAAAGCAGGGGAUCUUCGGACCUUGCGCGAUUGAAUGAGCCGAUGUCGGAUUAGCUAGUUGGCGGGGUAAAGGCCCACCAAGGCGACGAUCCGGAGCUGGUCUGAGAGGAUGAUCAGCCACACUGGAACUGAGACACGGUCCAGACUCCUACGGGAGGCAGCAGUGGGGAAUAUUGGACAAUGGGCGCAAGCCUGAUCCAGCCAUACCGCGUGGGUGAAGAAGGCCUUCGGGUUGUAAAGCCCUUUUGUUGGGAAAGAAAAGCAGCAGGUUAAUACCCCGCUGUUCUGACGGUACCCAAAGAAUAAGCACCGGCUAACUUCGUG
rnacentral:rRNA from 1 species